GCGGGGGUGCCGGAGCUUGGUCAAACGGCUUAGGUUGAGGGCCUAAGGGCUUAGUGCCUGCGCGUGUUCAAAUCACGUCCCCCGCA
rnacentral:tRNA from 1 species